CAAAUUAUUUGUUUUGGUUUUUUAAGUGGUUAGGUUUGGUAGUCAGUUUGUAUGUUUUAGCUUUGGUACUUUGUUAUGUUUGAGCAAAGGUCAGGUCUGAACUAAUGUUAUAUUUUUCCAGUGUGUGUAUGGGUGUGUUGUAUUUGUGCUAGUUGUGAUUUUUUUCCGAACUCUUGGAAUGUUCUUAUUUUUUGCAGUUAUGAGCUUUUAUUUAUGUAUGGUUCCCAAUUGAUAUCCGAAGAGUUUAUGCAAGUUUAGUUGCUUAGAGAUGCAAUUUAGAUUUAAUCUUUUUUAGGGAACUUCUUCAUUUUGAGAUCUUUCAUUGUAAGUUAUCCAUGUAGAAUAACCAUAUGUUUAUUUUUUGUACAGGUAUGGUUUGCCCUGUUUGUCGCUGUCCUGGUGCUCCAUGCUUUUCGUUUGUGCCAGCUGAUGAAGUCCUUGAAGUUUUUGAUGUUGUCCUUGAUGAUUUUUUGCUUUACGAGGAUGGUGGUUUCAGAAGAUGCAGCAUCUAAAAUAAAAUUCAGACAAAAUAUACUGGAGAUGGGGCAGCAAAUAAUGAUAUACCUUUGCCUGAUCAGAAGCAAUUUGAUCUCCAGGUUUCUUUGUUCUUCGUUUUUUUUGUUCCUGAUGACAGAUCUGUGAUCUGGGUAUGAAAUUGAGGGUCAUCCAUUUCUUAGUAGAUCUGCGAUCUGUGUAUGAAUCAGAGGAACUAAACUUUGGGAAAUCGAAGGAGAAGUAUAUUGCCAGCAAUAAUCCUGUGGAGAAGUUACCCAGAAAUAUCAGAAGACAGGAGGAGAUCUGAGCUUUGUUUCUGCUUCCAUGGUGGCGGCUGUGUGGAUGUCGAGGAACAAAGCAGAGGGGGCAAGGAGGAAGACCUAGUGAGCUGUACGUUUAUUGGAUCUUUAGUUUAGCGGGUUUUCAGGCCCUUUUUCUUUCUGGGCUAGACAGAUAGCAGAAGAAAGAAACAGAAAGUACUGAACCUUUUUGCAUUAUUGGGUUGUCGACUGAUCCCAGUUUUGGGUCAGUCAGUUUUCUAUUGGAUUGGUUUGUUUGUACUUUUGCAACAAUCGACUGACCCCUUUCUUGUGUCAGUCGAUUGACCUCUAGCCAAUCCCUUUCCAUCCUUCGA